rnacentral:rRNA from 1 species
CAGUCGCCGCGGUAAUACGAAGGGGGCUAGCGUUGCUCGGAAUGACUGGGCGUAAAGGGCGCGUAGGCGGAUUGUUUAGUUAGGCGUGAAAUUCCUGGGCCUAACCUGGGGACUGCGCUUAAUACAGGCAGUCUAGAGUGAGGAAGAGGGUUGUGGAAUUCCCAGUGUAGAGGUGAAAUUCGUAGAUAUUGGGAAGAACACCGGUGGCGAAGGCGGCAACCUGGUCCUUGACUGACGCUGAGGCGCGAAAGCGUGGGGAGCAAACAGGAUUAGAUACCCCGGUAGUCCCUGUCUCUUAUAC